rnacentral:rRNA from 1 species
UACAGAGGUGGCAAGCGUUGUUCGGAAUUACUGGGCGUAAAGCGUGCGCAGGCGGUUUUGUAAGUCUGUCGUGAAAUCCCCGGGCUCAACCUGGGGAUUGCGAUGGAGACUGCAAGGCUAGAAUCUGGCAGAGGGGGGUAGAAUUCCACGUGUAGCAGUGAAAUGCGUAGAGAUGUGGAGGAACACCGAUGGCGAAGGCAGCCCCCUGGGUCAAGAUUGACGCUCAUGCACGAAAGCGUGGGGAGCAACAGGGAUUAGAAACCCGUGG